GAGGGUAUAGCUCUGUGGUAGAGUGUGUGCCUCGUAUGUUCAAGGUACUGGGUUCAAUCCCCAGUACCUGCA
rfam:Camelus ferus unplaced genomic scaffold scaffold902, whole genome shotgun sequence.